rnacentral:rRNA from 1 species
AUUGAACGCUGGCGGCAGGCCUAACACAUGCAAGUCGAGCGGAUGAAGGGAGCUUGCUCCUGGAUUCAGCGGCGGACGGGUGAGUAAUGCCUAGGAAUCUGCCUGGUAGUGGGGGAUAACGUCCGGAAACGGGCGCUAAUACCGCAUACGUCCUGAGGGAGAAAGUGGGGGAUCUUCGGACCUCACGCUAUCAGAUGAGCCUAGGUCGGAUUAGCUAGUUGGUGGGGUAAAGGCCUACCAAGGCGACGAUCCGUAACUGGUCUGAGAGGAUGAUCAGUCACACUGGAACUGAGACACGGUCCAGACUCCUACGGGAGGCAGCAGUGGGGAAUAUUGGACAAUGGGCGAAAGCCCGAUCCAGCCAUGCCGCGUGUGUGAAGAAGGUCUUCGGAUUGUAAAGCACUUUAAGUUGGGAGGAGGGGCAGUAAGUUAAUACCUUGCUGUUUUGACGUUACCAACAGAAUAAGCACCGGCUAACUUCGUG